rnacentral:tRNA from 1 species
AGGCGAUUGGCGCAGUGGUAGCGCAGCAGCUUUACACGCUGUGGGUCGGGGGUUCGAAUCCCUCAUCGCCUACCA